rnacentral:rRNA from 1 species
GCUACCAUGCAAGUCGAGCGAGAACGCCUUCGGGUGAGUAGAGCGGCGGACGGGUGAGUGACGCGUGGGAAUCUACCGAGUAGCGGGGGACAACCAGUGGAAACGCUGGCUAAUACCGCAUACGCUCCUUUCUUGUGAUGAGGGGGGAGGAAAGAGGGGGACCGUAAGGCCUCUCACUAUUCGAUGAGCCCACGUUAGAUUAGCUAGAUGGGAGGGUAGAGGCCUACCAUGGCCACUAUCUAUAGCUGGUCUGAGAGGAUCAUCCGGCACGCUGGCAACUGAGACACGGGCCAGACUCCUACGGGAGGCACAA